rnacentral:rRNA from 1 species
UAGGGAAUUUUCGUCAAUGGGGGGAACCCUGAACGAGCAAUGCCGCGUGAGUGAGGAAGGUCUUCGGAUCGUAAAGCUCUGUUGUAAGAGAAAAACGACAUUCAUAGGGAAUGAUGAGUGAGUGAUGGUAUCUUACCAGAAAGUCACGGCUAACUACGUGCCAGCAGCCGCGGUAAUACGUAGGUGGCGAGCGUUAUCCGGAUUUAUUGGGUUUAAAGGGAGCGUAGGUGGAUUGUUAAGUCAGUUGUGAAAGUUUGCGGCUCAACCGUAAAAUUGCAGUUGAAACUGGCAGUCUUGAGUACAGUAGAGGUGGGCGGAAUUCGUGGUGUAGCGGUGAAAUGCUUAGAUAUCACGAAGAACUCCGAUUGCGAAGGCAGCUCACUAGACUGCAACUGACACUGAUGCUCGAAAGUGUGGGUAUCAAACAGGAUUAGAUACCCUGGUAGUCCACACAGUAAACGAUGAAUACUCGCUGUUUGCGAUAUACAGUAAGCGGCCAAGCGAAAGCAUUAAGUAUUCCACCUGGGGAGUACGCCGGCAACGGUGAAACUCAAAGGAAUUGACGGGGGCCCGCACAAGCGGAGGAACAUGUGGUUUAAUUCGAUGAUACGCGAGGAACCUUACCCGGGCUUAAAUUGCAUUUGAAUAAUCUGGAAACAGGUUAGCCGCAAGGCAAAUGUGAAGGUGCUGCAUGGUUGUCGUCAGCUCGUGCCGUGAGGUGUCGGCUUAAGUGCCAUAACGAGCGCAACCCUUAUCUUUAGUUACUAACAGGUCAUGCUGAGGACUCUAGAGAGACUGCCGUCGUAAGAUGUGAGGAAGGUGGGGAUGACGUCAAAUCAGCACGGCCCUUACGUCCGGGGCUACACACGUGUUACAAUGGGGGGUACAGAAGGCAGCUACCUGGCGACAGGAUGCUAAUCCCAAAAACCUCUCUCAGUUCGGAUCGAAGUCUGCAACCCGACUUCGUGAAGCUGGAUUCGCUAGUAAUCGCGCAUCAGCCAUGGCGCGGUGAAUACGUUCCC